UACGUAGGGUGCAAGCGUUGUCCGGAAUUAUUGGGCGUAAAGAGCUCGUAGGCGGUUUGUUGCGUCGGCUGUGAAAUCCCGAGGCUCAACCUCGGGUCUGCAGUCGAUACGAGCAAACUAGAGUGUUGCAGGGGAGACUGGAAUUCCUGGUUUAGCGGUGAAAUGCGCAGAUAUCAGGAGGAACACCGGUGGCGAAGGCGGGUCUCUGGGCAACAACUGACGCUGAGGAGCGAAAGCGUGGGGAGCAAACAGG
rnacentral:rRNA from 1 species